GUCUCCUUUUGCACCCACUGAAGCAUUUCCCACUGGCAAGAACUGGUGGCUAAUCACUUCAGGCGCAAACUUUGCACAGAAUUAUGGGAUUUCCUCCUUUAAGCUGUUGAGGCCUACUUGGUGUUUCCUGCCCCAAGGUGGUUGUGCAGUGCAGGGGAGAGAAGAGGCUUUUCAAACAGCUGGGACCAGUUAAGCAGAUGGCAGGUGUGUGCACAGAGGAAGAUGCCAUUACACGCUGCUGGGCUACGCUGUCUGGAGCCUCAUUGAUGCUGUCAGUUGUCAUUUCUGCAUGGCCAGGAAAACCAUUAAAAGCAAGGGUGAACAGUCAAACCAGUGUGCCCACACAUUUCUGGAUUUCAGCCCAUUCCAGAGCAAGAAUGCAGAAGCCAAUCUUGAAAUCAGAACAGAGCAAACCCAUGGGUCAAAGAUGAAGCUACCUCCCAAGAAUACGGUGAACAAACAUUGUCUGUACUUUCUGCAGAAGUCGUCUACAUCUGUUUUUCCUUUGCCUGAGACAGCAUUUGUGUAUAAUGUCGGAUCUGCUUUUUUGAGGGAGAAGGAAAUGAUAUGCUGAGCCUGGAAGAUAGAUUUCAGAGAAGUGACCAGUGUGUGUCCUGGUCUCCAUCAGUAGCACUGUCACUGCCAGCAGGCCUGCAGAGGCAUGAGAGAUGGUUGUGCUGUGCCAGCAGUGCAGA